rnacentral:rRNA from 1 species
CAAAACCUGGUUGAUCCUGCCAGUAGUCAUAUGCUUGUCUCAAAGAUUAAGCCAUGCAUGUCUAAGUAUAAAUAGUAUACAGUGAAACUGCGGAUGGCUCAUUAAAACAGUUAUAGUUUAUUUGAUAAUGGAAAGCUACAUGGAUAACCGUGGUAAUUCUAGAGCUAAUACAUGCUAUCAAACCUGACUUAUGGA